rnacentral:rRNA from 1 species
CCUACGGGUGACAGCAGUGAGGAAUAUUGGUCAAUGGACGGAAGUCUGAACCAGCCAUGCCGCGUGCAGGAAGACGGCUCUAUGAGUUGUAAACUGCUUUUGUACAAGGGUAAACCUGAAUACGUGUAUUCAGCUGAAAGUACUGUACGAAUAAGGAUCGGCUAACUCCGUGCCAGCAGCCGCGGUAAUACGGAGGAUCCAAGCGUUAUCCGGAUUUAUUGGGUUUAAAGGGUGCGUAGGCGGAUUGAUAAGUUAGAGGUUAAAUGUCCGAGCUUAACUCGGGAACUGCCUCUAAUACUGUUGAUCGAGAGAGUAGAGGAGGUAGGCGGAAUGAAUGGUGUAGCGGUGAAAUGCUGAGAGAUCAUACAGAACACCGAUUGCGAAGGCAGCUUACCAGUCUAUAUCUGACGUGGAGGCACGAAAGCGUGGGGAGCAAACAGGAUUAGAUACCCGAGUAGUC